AGAGUGCGUAAUAGCUCACUAGUCGAGAGGUCCUGCGCCGAAAAUGUCCGGGGCUGAAACACACUGCCGAAGCUCAGGAAUCUGCGAAUGCAGGUUGGUAGAGGAGCAUUCUUAAAGAGACGAAGCUGUACCGAAAGGAGCAGUGGAUUUUUAAGAAGAGAGAAUGCCGGAAUGAGUAGCGAGAAAGAGGUGAGAAUCCUCUUGGCCGAAUAUCUAAGGUUUCCAGGGUAAAGCUGAUCUGCCCUGGGUAAGUCGGGGCCUAAGGCGAGGUCGAAAGACGUAGUCGAUGGAUAACAGGUUGAAAUUCCUGUACUAUCCUGUAACAGAACUGUGGGGACGCAGACAGAGAGCACAAGCCGGGAAUGGAAAGACCGGUGCAAGCGAGGUAGGAGUACAUCAGGCAAAUCCGGUGUGCAAUCCGAAGACGUGAUGCGGAUCGAAAAGAAGUAGAGAAGUGUGUGAGCUGGCUGCCAAGAAAAGCCGCUAUUGUUUACAGGAUACCCGUACCGUAAACCGACACAGGUGGAUGAGGAGAGAAUCCUAAGGCCGACGGGAGAAGCAUUGUUAAGGAACUCGGCAAAAUGACUCCGUAACUUCGGGAGAAGGAGUGCCAUGCGAAUGGCCGCAGAGAAUUGGCCCAAGCAACUGUUUAGCAAAAACACAGGUCUAUGCGAAACCGAAAGGUGAGGUAUAUGGGCUGACGCCUGCCCGGUGCUGGAAGGUUAAGGGGAGAGGUUAGCGCAAGCGAAGCUUUGAACUUAAGCCCCAGUAAACGGCGGCCGUAACUAUAACGGUCCUAAGGUAGCGAAAUUCCUUGUCGGGUAAGUUCCGACCCGCACGAAAGGCGUAAUGAUUUGGGCACUGUCUCAACAAUGCACCCGGUGAAAUUGAAAUACCAGUGAAGAUGCUGGUUACCUGCGCCAGGACGGAAAGACCCCAUGGAGCUUUACUCUAGCUUGAUACUGGGAUUCGAUAUUGCAUGUACAGGAUAGGUGGGAGACUAGGAAGUGGUGACGCCAGUUGCCAUGGAGUCAAUGUUGGGAUACCACCCUUGCAGUAUUGGGUUUCUAACCAGCAGCCGUGAUCCGGCUGGGGGACAAUGUCAGGUGGGGAGUUUGACUGGGGCGGUCGCCUCCGAAAGGGUAUCGGAGGCGCUCAAAGGUUCCCUCAGAAUGGUUGGAAACCAUUCGAAGAGUGCAAAGGCAGAAGGGAGCUUGACUGCGACACCGACGGGUGGAGCAGGUACGAAAGUAGGACUUAGUGAUCCGGUGG
rnacentral:rRNA from 1 species